rnacentral:rRNA from 1 species
AUUGAACGCUGGCGGCAGGCCUAACACAUGCAAGUCGAACGGUAACAGGAAGCAGCUUGCUGCUUCGCUGACGAGUGGCGGACGGGUGAGUAAUGUCUGGGAAGCUGCCUGAUGGAGGGGGAUAACUACUGGAAACGGUAGCUAAUACCGCAUAAUGUCGCAAGACCAAAGAGGGGGACCUUCGGGCCUCUUGCCAUCGGAUGUGCCCAGAUGGGAUUAGCUUGUUGGUGGGGUAACGGCUCACCAAGGCGACGAUCCCUAGCUGGUCUGAGGGGAUGACCAGCCACACUGGAACUGAGACACGGGCCAGACUCCUACGGGAGGCAGCAGUGGGGAAUAUUGCACAAUGGGCGCAAGCCUGAUGCAGCCAUGCCGCGUGUAUGAAGAAGGCCUUCGGGUUGUAAAGUACUUUCAGCGGGGAGGAAGGGAGUAAAGUUAAUACCUUUGCUCAUUGACGUUACCCGCAGAAGAAGCACCGGCUAACUCCGUG